rnacentral:tRNA from 1 species
AAAAGUUAGUUAAACCUAAUAAUAACAUUGAUUUGUCAAAUCAAAAUUAACUAUAAAUUACUUUUUAA